UAUGAACCAUUCAAAUACAUUACAUCAGCAAAACCUCAGAUGUAUCAAGUUUACAGCAAAGUUUUCCUGAACGGAUAGUUCACUUUGAAAUUAAUUUUUGGUAUGUUUUAGCUUACCUCAAGGGCAUCCAAGAUGUAGGUGUCUUUGUUUCCGCAGUAGUUUCAAUUUUGAUAUUUUUAGGUCAAACCGUUCUUGUCUGUCAGUCAUAUAAUGCAGGUCUAUGGUCACCACCUCAAAGAGCAUGCACAGAGAAGUCCAAAUUAAACAUGAUUUAAUGACUCGUAAAUGUAAGUACACAUUGAUGGCCUAAGACACGAAACGAGCGGUUUGUGUGAGAAAACGAACAGUAUUUAUAUCGUUUUUACCUCUUGUAACCACAGCCACGUCCAAGUGAUCUGAGGGCGCGGGCGCUUCCGUCUGCGCAAGCGCCGGAAAGCGCCGGAAGUGAUCUCUCGCGCGUGUACGAAAAAAAUUCAACGUUGUCUGUUGAUAUAUCAAAAUCGUCUUCCAUUGCGAUUUCCUGUAUAUCUAAAUAUGUUUAGAUCUUCACAGUGAAAGGUAACACUUCCGAAAUCUGUGUAAACAAUGAGUGACGUACACGCGCGAGAGAUCACUUCCGGCGCUUGCGCAGACCGAAGCGCCCGCGUCCUCAGAUCACUUGGACGUGGCUGUGGUUACAAGAGGUAAAAACGAUAUAAAUACUGUUCGUUUUCUCAAACAAACCGCUCGUUUUGUGUCUUAGGCCAUCAAUGUGUACUUACAUUUACGAGUCAUUAAAUCAUGUUUAAUUUGGACUUCUCUGUGCAUGCUCUUUGAGGUGGUGACCAUAGACCUGCAUUAUAUGACUGACAGACAAAAACGGUUUGACCUAAAAAUAUCAAAA